rnacentral:rRNA from 1 species
GGGCUCACACAAGCGGUGGAGCAUGUGGCUUAAUUCGAGGCUACGCGAAGAACCUUAUCCUGGGCUUGACAUGUGCGAAAGCGCGGGGCAGUAGGGCGCGGAAACGUGUCCCCAACGGUAUCCAGUCCGGAACCCCGUACAGGUGCUGCAUGGCUGUCGUCAGCUCGUGUCGUGAGAUGUCGGGUUAAGUCCCAUAACGAGCGAAACCCCUGUCCCUAGUUGCCAGCGUCAAGCCGGGGACUCUAGGGAGACUGCCGGUGUCAAACCGGAGGAAGGUGGGGAUGACGUCAAGUCCUCAUGGCCUUUAUGCCCAGGGCUGCACACGUGCUACAAUGGCGUGCACAAAGGGAGGCCAACCCGCAAGGGGGAGCAAAUCCCAAAAAACACGCCCCAGUUCAGAUCGAGGGCUGCAACCCGCCCUCGUGAAGGUGGAAUCGCUAGUAAUCGCAGGUCAGCAACACUGCGGUGAAUGUGUUCCUGAGCCUU